rnacentral:rRNA from 1 species
UACGAGGGGGGGCGAGCGUUGUUCGGAAUUAUUGGGCGUAAAGGGUGCGUAGGCGGCCUGACAAGUCUGAUGUGAAAUCCCUGGGCUCAACCCAGGGCCUGCAUCGGAAACUGUCGGGCUUGAGUAUGGGAGAGGUGAGUGGAAUUUCCGGUGUAGCGGUGAAAUGCGUAGAUAUCGGAAGGAACACCUGUGGCGAAAGCGGCUCACUGGACCAUUACUGACGCUGAGGCACGAAAGCCAGGGGAGCAAACAGG